UCUAGUGUUUUCUUACCUUUGGCUGCUGCCUACAUCUGGCCUUGACGCAGUAAAAAGCUAAAAGUAGGGUUAAUCUUACUGCAACUGAUCAACAUCUUUGGUAGAAAGAUGGCAACAGACUAUUUGUCAGAGUUUAAACAUGCUUCUCAUCAUUUCUCUGUCUGGGGAUUAGCAGAACAGAUCAGAUGAUUUAACUCCCAACACUUGCGCUGCGAUAAAAAAUAAAAAGUUAAGGAAAAUAGAAAAGCUGCAGCGGCAAACCGGGAAACAAUGCGGAAAAUUAACAUUGUAAUAAAAGGCACUUCUUUUGACAGCGACAUAAGUUACUCAUCUAGCUAACUCUCAUGUCUGUGGAUAAAAGUUAGCAAGCUAACGUUAGCCGACAAGCACAUUCAGAACAGUGUGUGUAGACAGCCACAGUUGGCUAAAGAGAUUAGCUCGGACACACGCAAUCACUACAAAUCUACGCUAACGGUUUGGGUUGUGAUGCCCAACCUAGCGUCAGUUUCAGCUUUGCACCAGUGUGUCCCUGCCAUCCAGGCCGACUUGAUGAAGGCAGGCUUCCGCCGCUGAGUUUCCCCGGACUCCCUCCAGCUGCUGAGGGCAGGAAGCCGCUAACUGCAGCACAGAAGUAGCUCUGGGUCACCAUGGCUUUCCCAAACAGCCACGUAUCAGGAUCCUGGAGGGGGGAGGAGGAGGACGGGGAAACACAGGCGUGGAGAGUCAACGCAUGGAUUCCGCCCCACAAAAAAGAUCAGGAAUUAACUUUAUUUUUAGAUCCCAAAGGACGUUUUCCACAUCAAGAAGCAGCCUCCAGGAGACAGAUACAAGUAGAUUUUUUGUUAAUGUCGUAUAUGAUUGAAAUAGUUGGGGGAAAAGUGGAGCGAGUCAACUAGAGGAACAAAUCUGACAUGGCUGAAAAUAGUGUCCACAUUGAACAUAUAAAGAAAAAAAUGCAAAAUUGGACAUCACAGAAGAUGUCAUCAGGAUGCAGUUCCAAGAGAACCAGUAUUUUAUUUUUGAGUUAUUACACGCACAUUAAAAGCAAGUUUAUUUCAUAGGAGCUGCGCUCGUAUUUUGUAUUUUGUGAUUAGUAACACUGAUUCACUUUUUUUUUCUCAGAUGGUUCACUAUGUAUGCUGAGUGUCUUGGGCACGAAAUGCCCUGCAAGAUGAAUAAAUAUCUGUAUAAUUUUA